GGAGGAGCUGGUGGAGAUCAACGCCGGGGGUCGGGGCGGCGUGCAGCUGGUGACGGACAAGAACUCGGGCACCAGCUGGCUCCUGGUCACCCACGCCACCUGGAGGGACGCCGGGAACUACACGUGCGCGCCCGUGCACGCCACGCCCGCCUCGGUGUCCGUCCACGUGCUCGACGAGGCUCCAGCCGAGCUUCAAAACGACCCCCAGCCGAGCCGGGCCCAGACGUCCACCCAAGGAACACCAGGCCUCCCGCUGCUCCUGCUGGGGCUUCACCGUCUGCUGGGGCGAGAUGCGCCGAGAACGUGGUGCCUCUGGGCUCUCCUGGGGGCGUGUCUAGUGCUCCCCAGCGCCAGCAGGGGUACGAGUGGCCUUCAGGACGCCUCUCAGACUAAUAAAGCAGUAGAAGGAUCGUUAACAGUCGCUGCGAGUGAUGGAAACAUAGUCAUUGGCGUCACGCUCUUAAGAAAACAAGAGUUGGGAGGGCCGCACACUGUGAAUGGAGGGGAAUAUCAACGGCAUCUCGAGUAACGACAGCAGCACCCAGCGGGUGGCCACAUAAGCUGCACGCAAGAUGCUCUCAGCCCGCCCCUAGAUGCCACCCCGGAUGCCGGCCUGGUGCACCCCCUCGUACGCCUCCUGGAGAGGGCAGACAACCUUGGGCCCUGUCGUGUUGUUCGUCAAGCUGCUCCGCUCGCAGCACACCAACGUGGCAUGCAGAGCAAGCCGUGUGGGCGCCGGGAAACACUGCUGGCGAUGGUCCCAAACUCAGAGACUUCGUCAUUAAGGCUGACAUUGUACAACCUCUUCUGGAACUCAUUAGACCAGACACAGAGGCACGCUCAUGAGGAUGUUUUCUUACAUUUUAUAAUGGAAUGCUCUACCAUUCAGUGAUGUAUUCUUUCUUCACCUCAAAACUCAAGCACAUAGUAGAACAGUAAACUAAUGCUUAUAAGAGAAAGAAAAUAAUAACUUGAUCAUCGGAAUAAACUGUCUUCAGUAUCUUCAUUCAUGUAGCAUCACUGCAUCAUACUGAAUGUAUUGCCGAGUGCAGAUACACAGGUCUUAGUUGAGCAGGCAUGAAAAGGCGGCGCCAGGUGGAAGGCCACAGCCACAGACGGCAGGCCAGUGCUGUUACACAAUACGGUGAUGGAGGCAGUGAUAGUGAACAGGGUUAUAACUUGUUGGCUGCUGGAAUGUGUUUGAAGGAUGGGUACUUUAAAUUACGAGGAACUAGCAAAGCAAUAUAAAGGCUAGAGAUCAAUUCUCAGGUCUAAGGACAUGUAUCUUAACAUAAAUUCCUUAGCCAGUCAUUUAGUAUUGUCAUAGAAGACACAAUAAAACCCAGUGAGGUGAUGCCCCACUCGGACCGCUCCUUGCAUGCAUCAGUUAUUUGUGUGUCAUACCGGCGGGUGUGUAAAACACUCACCAAAAUUAUUGUAGGUUAACAUGGCUCGUUGAUAUUCACCCAGCAAAGGGUUAUAAAUGUGUUCAU